rnacentral:rRNA from 1 species
UACGUAGGGUGCAGGCGUUAAUCGGAAUUACUGGGCGUAAAGCGUGCGCAGGCGGUUUGCUAAGACAGGUGUGAAAUCCCCGGGCUUAACCUGGGAACUGCGCUUGUAACUGGCAGGCUUGAGUGCGGCAGAGGGGGGUGGAAUUCCACGUGUAGCAGUGAAAUGCGUAGAAAUGUGGAGGAACACCGAUGGCGAAGGCAGCCCCCUGGGUCGACACUGACGCUCAUGCACGAAAGCGUGGGGAGCAAACAGG